AUGAGCCAUGCAUACAAAAUUCUAGAAACAAACAAGGUUAAGUAUAUCUGUACUAAAACACAGCAACAGGAGGAUGGAGAAAACAAAGAACUGACUGAUGAGUUGCUUUGUUGUCUGGCAGCAGGAUUACUAGUGCUCAAAGAAAAAGACACCAAUUCUUCUAGAAUACUUACAAAAAAUCAAGGUUCAAAACUACAAAAUACGUUUGCUAAAGAAGAAAGAUGCAUUGUGAAUGGAGAUGGAAAAGUAGUAAC
rnacentral:lncRNA from 1 species